AGUCAUUACCUGAACGCAUUCACACCCUCACAGCCCUUCAAUAUUUGGAUAUAAGAAAUCUUCCAAAUCUGGAGUCAAUUGCAGAAGAUGGAGGUUUGCCUCCCAACCUCCAACAUUUUCCUAUUGAGAAUUGUGAGAGACUGAGGGCUUCAUCUUCAUCAGUGGUAGAUUGCUCUAACUGGGCUUUGCAAGCACUUGUCUCCCUUAAAUACCUUAAAAUUGGUGGCAGGGGAAGUGAUGAAAUCUUGGAGACGUUGCUCAAGCAACAGCUGCUCCCUACCACUCUUCACUAUCUCCGCAUUGAGAAACUUUCAACUCUGAAAUCUUUGGAUGGAAAGGGACUUGCACACCUUACUUCUCUUCAAGAGCUAUAUAUUUAUGACUGUCCGAGUCUCCAAUUCCUGCCAGAAGAGGCACUUCAACACCUCACUUCUCUUCAAACUCUAGCUAUUGGUGGGUGUGACAGUAUUCAAUUCCUGCCAGAAGAGGGUCUGCCGCCAUCUCUUUCUUAUCUGAGCAUCUCCAAUUGCUCUGCCCUGAAGAAAAGGUAUGAUAAUAAGACGGGACAAGAUUGGGCCAAGAUUUCUCACAUUCCUUGCAUCACGAUAGACGAAGAAGUGAUCAUAUGAUUUGAGCUCUCUCUCACAUAGAGACAAACAAACUCAGACUUGAGAAACUUUCCCAUGUUUGGAGGUCAAAGCAACUUGUGUAGGCAACCAUGCCCGAGGAGAGUUUACCAUUGUAUAUGGAUUUUUGUUUUUCUACAAACAAAUUGCGGCAAAGAAGGGGAAGGAAAUGUUCUCAAGGUGGAGCUCUAGCAAGAGACCAGCAUUUGGACAAUGUGGUAAACGGAUCUCAAUCAAACAUAACAAUCAUCACUGUCCAUUCAUGAUUAGAAUGGGAGGAAUGAAGAACAGAAGGCCGGUGUCCAGAUUUUCCUCAUCUCAAGGAGCUGACUUUAGACGAGUGUGGGGUUCUACAUGAUGAAAGGGCCACUACUACUCGUGACAUGGACUACUUAUCUCUUGAAGAAUUAGAAAUAUACAAUGGAUGCCCAGGUCUGUUCUCGUUACUAGAGACAAAGUUCCUGUUCGUGUUCCUAUUUGAUACGAUGCCAUUUCCAAUUCAAAAACUUUUCAGGAGUAUCUUGUUGACCUGAGAUAUGCAUGAAAAUGGAAAGCAAUUGAGUUGAAAUCCUCACUGGCUUUUCAAAAUCUGAUGAGGAACAAAAGUAUGAGAAAACACGUGAAGAUUCUCUGCGUAAGAUUCCCAAUGGGAACUACCCCAACCCCGACGACAAGCUAAAUCUUUCAAGCACUGCAUGCUCUUUUAAGGUAGAAUGAAUGACCUUAUCAUCUUCCAACAAACUCAAGAAAUGCAUACUCUGAUGAGUUGAAGUUGAAGAUUUCGAGAAGGAAUGAAAGCUGUAGCAGAAAACAUAGGGCUGAGAUCUCUCCAAGGUGAUUGUGGGGAGGUUUGCCAAUUGACCUUAGUGAAAUCAAAAAACAAAUAUAGUUCAUUUGUGUUUGGAGGGGCGGUCUUCAUCUGAUCUGACCACAUGGAAAAGCUCUCUUUGUGUUGACGAAGAAUUCUUCAUCUCAAACUGAUGUUAAACCUGGGGGGCACGUCCUCGUUUGGUUUUCUUGCAAGAAAACUUUAUCGGAUGAUGAUGAAGUUGUUGAAAGUUACUUUCUAUGUAAUGCCAUAUGCAGCCAGUUUGUUGGCCUUUGUCUACGAAUCCUUCAAAUACAGCCAUGGAUUGUGCACUUAAACCUGUUAAAGCUCGUAUUGUUGAAGUUCAAUUUCCUCUUGUCCCGCAUUGAAAGAUUAUAGCUUUGUCUAUGAAUACUUCAAGGACAGCCAGUUUGAUACUGAUUGUUGUUUCCAACAAAAGCUUUGUCUCUGCACAUUAUAGCUUAUUCGUCGAAUGUUACAUAUACCCAAUGUUUCCAUA